UACGGAGGGGGCUAGCGUUGUUCGGAAUUACUGGGCGUAAAGCGCACGUAGGCGGCUUUGUAAGUUAGAGGUGAAAGCCCGGGGCUCAACUCCGGAAUUGCCUUUAAGACUGCAUCGCUAGAAUUGUGGAGAGGUAAGUGGAAUUCCGAGUGUAGAGGUGAAAUUCGUAGAUAUUCGGAAGAACACCAGUGGCGAAGGCGACUUACUGGGCUGUAACUGACGCUGAGGCGCGAAAGCGUGGGGAGCGAACAGG
rnacentral:rRNA from 1 species